GAUGAACGCUGGCGGCGUGCCUAACACAUGCAAGUCGAACGAAGCUCUUACAUCGGAACUCUUCGGAGGGAAGAAGUUUGAGACUGAGUGGCGGACGGGUGAGUAACGCGUGGGUAACCUGCCCUGUACAGGGGGACAACAGUUAGAAAUGACUGCUAAUACCGCAUAAGCUUACGGUAUCGCAUGAUACAGUAAGAAAAACUCCGGUGGUACAGGAUGGGCCCGCGUCUGAUUAGCUGGUUGGUGAGGUAACGGCUCACCAAGGCGACGAUCAGUAGCCGGCUUGAGAGAGUGAACGGCCACAUCGGGACUGAGACACGGCCCAA
rnacentral:rRNA from 1 species